AUGUUCUCCUCGCAGUCGCUCAGUCGCGUAAACAACAUCAGAACCUCUCUGGUGAACGCCCAGAAGGGCAACAAGACCGUCACCACCUACUUUGCCGAGAUGCGCGGCUUCGCCGACGAGCUGGCCGCCGCCGGAAAACCUCUCCAGGAUGAUGAACUCAUCUCCUACAUCCUGCACGGCCUCGACAUGGACUACCAGCCACUCGUCUCCGCCCUCGACACCCGCAUCACCCCGGUAUCCCUCGAUGAGCUUUUUUCAAUGCUUAGCAACUUUGAUCAGAGGGUGGCGCAGUACCAGGGAUCGGGCGGCUUCAAGUCGUCGGCUAACGCCGCGACGCGCGAGCGCGGCGGCUAUGCUCGUCACCGUGGUCCUCCUUGCUCCAAGGGCAAGCAGGGGAGCGGCGGCAGCAACGGCGGGUCCAACUCCCGCAACGGACGUCCCAACUACACCAACACCAGGGGCCGCCGCGGUGGUUCUUCCAGGUCGCGACCGGACGCGGUGCGCUGCAAAAUCUGCGGCAAACCGUGCCACACGGCGAGGGACUGCUAG
rnacentral:rRNA from 1 species